rnacentral:rRNA from 1 species
GAUGAACGCUGGCGGCGUGCCUAAUACAUGCAAGUCGAGCGAACGGACGAGAAGCUUGCUUCUCUGAUGUUAGCGGGGGAAGGGGGGGUAACACGUGGAUAACCUACCUAUAAGACUGGGAUAACUUCGGGGAAACGGAGCUAAAACCGGAUAAUAUUUUGAACAGCAUGAUUCAAAAGUGAAAGACGGUGUUGAUGUCACUUAUAGAUGGAUCCGCGCUGCAUUAGCUAGUUGGUAAGGUAACGACUUACGAAGGCAACGAUGCAUAGCCGACCUGAGAGGGUGAGCGGCCACACUGGAUCUGAGACACGGUCCAGACUCCUACGAGUGGCAGCAGUAGCGAAUCUUCCGCAAAGGGCGAAAGCCUGACGUAGCAACGCCGCGUGAGUGAUGAAGGUCUUCGGAUCGUAAAACUCUGUUAGUAGGCAAGAUCAUAUGUGUAAGUAACUGUGCACAUCUUGACGGUACCUUAUCAGAAAGCUACGGCUAACUACGUG